rnacentral:rRNA from 1 species
GCGCAGUGCCAGCUAGUCAGUAACUGCAGUCGUACGAGUUCUCGCGUGAUGAUCGGUAGCGUUGCACCGAGAUUCAACAUGGAACGAGUGGCGGACGGGUGAGUAACACGUGGGUAACCUGCCCUUAAGUGGGGGAUAACAUUUGGAAACAGAUGCUAAUACCGCAUAGAUCCAAGAACCGCAUGGUUCUUGGCUGAAAGAUGGCGUAAGCUAUCGCUUUUGGAUGGACCCGCGGCGUAUUAGCUAGUUGGUGAGGUAAUGGCUCACCAAGGCGAUGAUACGUAGCCGAACUGAGAGGUUGAUCGGCCACAUUGGGACUGAGACACGGCCCAAACUCCUACGGGAGGCAGCAGUAGGGAAUCUUCCACAAUGGACGCAAGUCUGAUGGAGCAACGCCGCGUGAGUGAAGAAGGCUUUCGGGUCGUAUUUUCUCUGUUGUUGGAGAAGAAUGGUCGGCAGAGUAACUGUUGUCGGCGUGACGGUAUCCAACCAGAAAGCCACGGCUAACUACGUGCCAGCAGCCGCGGUAAUACGUAGGUGGCAAGCGUUAUCCGGAUUUAUUGGGCGUAAAGCGAGCGCAGGCGGUUUUUUAAGUCUGAUGUGAAAGCCCUCGGCUUAACCGAGGAAGCGCAUCGGAAACUGGGAAACUUGAGUGCAGAAGAGGACAGUGGAACUCCAUGUGUAGCGGUGAAAAUGCGUAGAUAUAUGGAAGAACACCAGUGGCGAAGGCGGCUGUCUGGUCUGUACCUGACGCUGAGGCUCGAAAGCAUGGGUAGUGAAGAGGAUUAGAUACCCUGGGAGUC